GAUGAACGCUGGCGGCGUGCCUAAUACAUGCAAGUCGAGCGAACAGACGAGGAGCUUGCUCCUCUGACGUUAGCGGCGGACGGGUGAGUAACACGUGGAUAACCUACCUAUAAGACUGGGAUAACUUCGGGAAACCGGAGCUAAUACCGGAUAAUAUAUUGAACCGCAUGGUUCAAUAGUGAAAGACGGUUUUGCUGUCACUUAUAGAUGGAUCCGCGCCGCAUUAGCUAGUUGGUAAGGUAACGGCUUACCAAGGCGACGAUGCGUAGCCGACCUGAGAGGGUGAUCGGCCACACUGAAACUGAGACACGGUCCAGACUCCUACGGGAGGCAGCAGUAGGGAAUCUUCCGCAAAGGGCGAAAGCCUGACGGAGCAACGCCGCGUGAGUGAUGAAGGUCUUCGGAUCGUAAAACUCUGUUAUUAGGGAAGAACAAAUGUGUAAGUAACUAUGCACGUCUUGACGGUACCUAAUCAGAAAGCCACGGCUAACUACGUG
rnacentral:rRNA from 1 species